rnacentral:rRNA from 1 species
GAUGAACGCUGGCGGCGUGCCUAAUACAUGCAAGUCGAGCGAACAGACGAGGAGCUUGCUCCUCUGACGUUAGCGGCGGACGGGUGAGUAACACGUGGAUAACCUACCUAUAAGACUGGGAUAACUUCGGGAAACCGGAGCUAAUACCGGAGAAUAUAUUGUACCGCAUGGUUCAAUAGUGAAAGACGGUUUUGCUGUCACUUAUAGAUGGAUCCGCGCCGCAUUAGCUAGUUGGUAAGGUAACGGCUUACCAAGGCAACGAUGCGUAGCCGACCUGAGAGGGUGAUCGGCCACACUGGAAAUGAGACACGGUCAAGACUCCUACGGGAGGCAGCAGUAGGGACUCUUCCGCAAUGGGCGAAAGCCUGACGGAGCAACGCCGCGUGAGUGAUGAAGGUCUUCGGAGCGUAAAACUCUGUUAUUAGGGAAGAACAAAUGUGUAAGUAACUAUGCACGACUUGACGGUACCUAAUCAGAAAGCCACGGCUAACUACGUG